UGGAACCAGAAGGCAGCCAAUUUCGAAUUUCCAUUAUUCACAAAAGAUGACCAGACAAGAAUUGACAUU
rnacentral:sRNA from 10 species